UACGGUGAAUACGUUCCCGGACCUUGCACACACCGCCCGUCAAGCCAUGGAAGCCGGGUGUACCUAAAGUCGGUAACCGUCAAAGGAGCCGCCCAAGGUAAAACUGGUAACUGGGGCU
rnacentral:rRNA from 1 species